rnacentral:rRNA from 1 species
UGGGGAAUUUUUGACAAUGGGGGAAACCCUGAUCCAGCCAUCCCGCGUGUGCGAUGAAGGCCUUCGGGUUGUAAAGCACUUUUGGCAGGAAAGAAACGUCAUGGGUUAAUACCCCGUGAAACUGACGGUACCUGCAGAAUAAGCACCGGCUAACUACGUGCCAGCAGCCGCGGUAAUACGUAGGGUGCAAGCGUUAAUCGGAAUUACUGGGCGUAAAGCGUGCGCAGGCGGUUCGGAAAGAAAGAUGUGAAAUCCCAGAGCUCAACUUUGGAACUGCAUUUUUAACUACCGGGCUAGAGUGUGUCAGAGGGGGGUGGAAUUCCGCGUGUAGCAGUGAAAUGCGUAGAUAUGCGGAGGAACACCGAUGGCGAAGGCAGCCUCCUGGGAUAACACUGACGCUCAUGCACGAAAGCGUGGGGAGCAAACAGG